UACGUGCCAGCAGCCGCGGUAAUACGUAGGUGGCAAGCGUUGUCCGGAAUUAUUGGGCGUAAAGCGCGCGCAGGCGGAUUGGUCAGUCUGUCUUAAAAGUUCGGGGCUUAACCCCGUGAUGGGAUGGAAACUGCCAAUCUAGAGUAUCGGAGAGGAAAGUGGAAUUCCUAGUGUAGCGGUGAAAUGCGUAGAUAUUAGGAAGAACACCAGUGGCGAAGGCGACUUUCUGGACGAAAACUGACGCUGAGGCGCGAAAGUCAGGGGAGCGAACGGGAUUAGAUACCCCGGUAGUCCUGGCCGUAAACGAUGGGUACUAGGUGUAGGAGGUAUCGACCCCUUCUGUGCCGGAGUUAACGCAAUAAGUACCCCGCCUGGGGAGUACGACCGCAAGGUUGAAACUCAAAGGAAUUGACGGGGGCCCGCACAAGCGGUGGAGUAUGUGGUUUAAUUCGACGCAACGCGAAGAACCUUACCAGGUCUUGACAUUGAUGGACAGAACUAGAGAUAG
rnacentral:rRNA from 1 species